UACGGAGUUACAAAGGACGACAUUAGACGAAUCAUCUGGAAAGAUGAAUCAAAGAAGGUAAUAAUCCUGUAGUCGAAAAUGUUGUCUCUCUUGAGUGGAUCCUGAGUACGACGGAGCACGUGAAAUUCCGUCGGAAUCUGGGAGGACCAUCUCCUAAGGCUAAAUACUCUCUAGUGACCGAUAGUGAACCAGUACCGUGAGGGAAAGGUGAAAAGCACCCCGGAAGG
rnacentral:rRNA from 1 species